rnacentral:tRNA from 4 species
GGGUCGAUGCCCGAGCGGUUAAUGGGGACGGACUGUAAAUUCGUUGGCAACAAUAUGUCUACGCUGGUUCAAAUCCAGCUCGACCCA